rnacentral:rRNA from 1 species
AUUGAACGCUGGCGGCAUGCUUUACACAUGCAAGUCGAACGGCAGCGCGGGGCAACCUGGCGGCGAGUGGCGAACGGGUGAGUAAUAUAUCGGAACGUACCCAGAAGUGGGGGAUAACGUAGCGAAUGUUACGCUAAUACCGCAUACGAUCUACGGAUGAAAGUAGGGGACCGCAAGGCCUUAUGCUUUUGGAGCGGCCGAUAUCUGAUUAGCUAGUUGGUGAGGUAAAGGCUCACCAAGGCGACGAUCAGUAGCUGGUCUGAGAGGACGACCAGCCACACUGGAACUGAGACACGGUCCAGACUCCUACGGGAGGCAGCAGUGGGGAAUUUUGGACAAUGGGCGCAAGCCUGAUCCAGCAAUGCCGCGUGAGUGAAGAAGGCCUUCGGGUUGUAAAGCUCUUUUGUCAGGGAAGAAACGGUAGAGGCUAAUAUCCUUUGCUAAUGACGGUACCUGAAGAAUAAGCACCGGCUAACUACGU